rnacentral:rRNA from 1 species
GCCCGACCAUAAACCCUGAUUAUCCCACACAAAUAACCCGCCAGAGAACUACAAGCGAAAAGCCCAAAACUCCAAGGACUUGACGGUGUCUCAUACAACCUAGAGGAGCCUGUCCUACAACCGAUACCCCACGCUACACCCAACCUUCUCUCGCACCAUGCAGCCUAUAUACCGCCGUCGUCAGUUCGCCCCCUGAGGGGGCCGCAGCGAACAAAACACUCCAACCACUAACACGUCAGGUCAAGGUGUAGCCCAUGAGAAGGGAGAGAUGGGCUACAUUCUCACCACACCUGAGUACACCAACAGCAACAUGAAACUUUUAGCCACAAGGUGGAUUUAGCAGUAAAUCGAACAAGACCUGCUCGCUUGAACACAGCCCUGAGACGCGUACACACCGCCCGUCACCCUCAUCAAAACAAAACCACCACACAAUAAACCCUCUUUACCAAACCCGCCAAAUCCCAGAUGAGACAAGUCGUAACAUGGUAAGUGUACUGGAAAGUGCAA